GACGGCUAAGUUGGCAGAGCAUGAGACUCUUAAUCUCAGGGUUGUGGGUUCAAAAGAUUCUCGCAUUGCA